rnacentral:rRNA from 1 species
GUGGGGAAUAUUGCACAAUGGGCGAAAGCCUGAUGCAGCGACGCCGCGUGAGCGAAGAAGUAUUUCGGUAUGUAAAGCUCUAUCAGCAGGGAAGAUAAUGACGGUACCUGACUAAGAAGCUCCGGCUAAAUACGUGCCAGCAGCCGCGGUAAUACGUAUGGAGCAAGCGUUAUCCGGAUUUACUGGGUGUAAAGGGAGUGUAGGUGGCCAGGCAAGUCAGAAGUGAAAGCCCGGGGCUCAACCCCGGGACUGCUUUUUAAACUGCAGGGCUAUAGUGCAGGAGGGGAAAGUGGAAUUCCUAGUGUAGCGGUGAAAUGCGUAGAUAUUAGGAGGAACACCAGUGGCGAAGGCGGCUUGCUGGACUGUAACUGACACUGAGGCUCGAAAGCGUGGGGAGCAAACAGGAUUAGAUACCCUGGUAGUCC